UCAAACGUGUCAAGAAUGAAACUACAAGUUGAUUCUAAUUUUAAACAACCGAAAAUGAAGCUACAAGUUCUUUUCAACUUCAAACGAGUCUGGAAUGAAGCUACAAGUUGUUUGAAAAUUCCAUCUAGCCAAUAAUAAAGCAACAAGUUGUUUCCGGGCUCAAACGAGUCAAGAAUGAAACUACAAGUUGAUUCUAAUUUUAAACAACCGAAAAUGAAGCUACAAGUUGUUUUCAACUUCAAACGAGUCUGGAAUGAAGCUACAAGUUGUUUCCAACUUCAAUCUAG
rnacentral:lncRNA from 1 species